UAGCGGCGGCAACUUUCCGGUGGCAUCGCCUGUCGCCGUCGCUCGUCAUUGUAGGCGAUAUUAAAAAGAAAUGGAUCGAUGAUAUGAACGAAGCAGAGGGUGAUUGGAUGGAUGGUCGUGUUCUCGGUUCUCGCUUUCGUUUUCGUUUUGGGUACAGUACGUCAGUACCUGCAUUGGCACAGCAGUAGGAACACUUGACAGUUGCCGACUGGUAUAUUUCGUUUCUCUUUUCAGAAUGUUCGGUUUCCUCUGCAUCUGGCAGUCAGCUAUUCUACAGCAUGACUGAAAAGACUUGACAAAACAGCCGCCACUCUCAGUUUCUGAAAUCAUUAUUUGUCCAGAUGGUAAUGGUGGUCUCAGAAGUUAUUUUCUCAGGUUGCAUUAUUUGUCCAACCAAAUCCAGAUUUACAGUAUGAGCCACUCUGUGAGGCAGGUGUUCAGCUUUGAUGAGAAGAUUACUCGUUGAGUUCAUGUAAAACAAACAUUCGCCUCGUUCUAUUCUCUCUCUCUCUCA
rnacentral:lncRNA from 7 species